GGCACACUGGUGCAGUGGUUAGCACUGUUGCCUCACAGUAAGGUUCUGGGUUUGAUCCCCAGACCUGGGCCU